GCAUCUAUAGAUUGUCCUUCUGUCAUUGUCUCAUCUUGCAUAUUCCUUGAGGAAAUGAUCUGAGAUUGCUGUCUGUGACAAGGAUGAUAGGUACAGCAAUCAUGGAAAUCAGGAUGGAUCUGGUGUGUGGCUGACUGAUGAGUGGAUCUAGUAGCUGGUGACUCGGUGCUUGAUGACUCAAGGAAAUGAAUACUCAUCAAAGACAACGUGCCUACUGAUGUAUACACGAUUAUUAGUUGGGACCAAACAUCGAUACCCUUUGUGCUGAGUGCUAUAACCCAAGAAGAUACAGGGAAGAGAUCGAGGAUCAAGUUUAUGACUUGCAUAUGGUCUUAAGCAAGGAUAGCAUGCACA